GCUUGUCUCAAAGAUUAAGCCAUGCAUGUCUAAGUAUAAACAACUUUAUACUGUAAAACUGCGAACGGCUCAUUAUAUCAGCAAUAAUUUAUUUGAUGGUUUCUUACCCCAUGGAUAACUGUGGUAAUUCUAGAGCUAAUACAUGCUGGCGUGCCCGACUUUUGUGGAAGGGCGGUAUUUAUUAGAUAACAAGCCAAUAUUCCUCACGGUCUAUUGUGGUGACUCAUAAUAACUGAUCGAAUCGCAAGGCCCUUGGCCGCGAUAAGUCAUUCAAGUUUCUGCCCCAUCAGCUUUCGAUGGUAGUGUAUUGGACUACCAUGGCGUUCACGGGUAACGGAGAAUUAGGGUUCGAUUCCGGAGAGGGAGCCUGAGAAACGGCUACCACAUCUAAGGAAGGCAGCAGG
rnacentral:rRNA from 1 species